UACCAGCUCUCCGAGUUGUAGGGAUGAUUAUUGGGCUUAAAGCGUCCGUAGCUGGCUUAGCAAGUCUCCUGUUAAAUUCAGCGACCUAAUCGUUGAGCCGCGGGAGAUACUACUAGGCUAGGAGGCGGGAGAGGUCGACGGUACUUUCGGGGGUAGGGGUGAAAUCCUAUAAUCCCGGGAGGACCACCAGUGGCGAAGGCUGUCGACUAGAGCGCGCUCGACGGUGAGGGACGAAAGCUGGGGGAGCGAACCGGAUUAGAUACCCGGGUAGUCCCAGCUGUAAACUAUGCGGGCUAGGUGUUGGGGUGGCUACGGGCCACCUCAGUGCCGCAGGAAGCCAUUAACGCCCCGCCGCCUGGGGGAGUACGGCCGCAAGGCUAGAAACUUAAAGGAAUUGGGCGGGGAGCACCACAAGGCGUGAAGCUUGCGGUUC
rnacentral:rRNA from 1 species